UGGGGAAUCUUGCGCAAUGGGCGAAAGCCUGACGCAGCGACGCCGCGUGGGGGAGGAAGCUUUUCGGAGUGUAAACCUCUGUCAGGGGGGAAGAAUGGGCCGGGAGGAAAUGCCUCGGUUUUGACGGUACCUCCAAAGGAAGCACCGGCUAACUCUGUGCCAGCAGCCGCGGUAAUACAGAGGGUGCGAGCGUUGUUCGGAAUUACUGGGCGUAAAGCGCGCGCAGGCGGUCCUUUAAGUCUACCCGUGAAAUGCCGGAGCUCAACUCCGUGCACGCC
rnacentral:rRNA from 1 species